rnacentral:sRNA from 1 species
GCAGAAUUCAGUGAAUCAUCGAAUCUUUGAACGCAAAUGGCGCUCUUGGGUUCUCCCAGGAGCAUGUCUGUCUGAGUGUCUUUUUCGUUGAAUGACAUUCGCACGAUGUGGCCGUGUUAUGCACUGGCGUUUCGUGCGGCGUUGAGGUUCGCGGCCUUGCUAUUCUUAGGCCGCGUGCCUUUAAAUGGAGGAGGAAGAUGGGCUCAAGGUCCGGUGCAGUCGCAUGCGGAUUCAGUUCAUGUGCCGCAUGUGACUGCUGCACCGGGAAUAUUGUCCUCGACCCUCUACCUCGUGACCUUUAGCACGACGCUCGUUCGUUCGUUGCUUGCCGCCAGACCUCAGAUCAGGCAAGGCUACCCGCUGAAUUUAAGCAUAUUAAUAAGCGGAGGAAAAGAAACUAACAAGGAUUCCCCCAGUAACGGCGAGUGAAGCGGGAAGAGCUCAAAUUUGAAAUCUCCGAUGCCUGCAUCGGCGAGUUGUAGUUGCGAGAAGCACUUUCUAGGCGGAAGGGCCCUGCCUAAGUUGCUUGGAACAGCACGUCGCAGAGGGUGACAACCCCGUCU